rnacentral:rRNA from 1 species
GUGGGGAAUAUUGGGCAAUGGGCGAAAGCCUGACCCAGCAACGCCGCGUGAAGGAAGAAGGUUUUCGGAUCGUAAACUUCUAUCCUUGGUGAAGAUAAUGACGGUAGCCAAGAAGGAAGCCACGGCUAACUACGUGCCAGCAGCCGCGGUAAUACGUAGGGGGCAAGCGUUGUCCGGAAUGAUUGGGCGUAAAGGGCGGGUAGGUGGCCUGGUAAGUCUGGAGUGAAAGUCCUGCUUUUAAGGUGGGAAUUGCUUUGGAUACUGUCGGGCUUGAGUUCAGGAGAGGUAAGUGGAAUUCCCGGUGUAGCGGUGAAAUGCGUAGAGAUCGUGAGGAACACCAGUGGCGAAGGCGACUUACUGGACUGUAACUGACGCUGAGGCGCGAAAGUGUGGGGAGCAAACAGGAUUAGAUACCCUUGUAGUCC